rnacentral:piRNA from 1 species
UGAAAGGUGUGACCCUGUUGUGAGGAGCCC